AACCCGUGGUGAGGGCAUUCCCUUCGGUACUCCUUAAAACGCUCCCAAGCAUCAUAGAAAGGCUCGUCAGUCUUUUGCUUACAAUUUGAGAUAUUAUGCCCAGAGCU
rfam:Brassica napus, WGS project CCCW01000000 data, contig: 24013